UGGGGAAUAUUGCACAAUGAGCGAAAGCCUGAUCCAGCAAUGCCGCGUGUGUGAAGAAGGCCUUCGGGUUGUAAAGCACUUUUGUCCGGAAAGAAAUCCUUGGCUCUAAUACAGUCGGGGGAUGACGGUACCGGAAGAAUAAGCACCGGCUAACUACGUGCCAGCAGCCGCGGUAAUACGUAGGGUGCAAGCGUUAAUCGGAAUUACUGGGCGUAAAGCGUGCGCAGGCGGUUUGCUAAGACCGAUGUGAAAUCCCCGGGCUCAACCUGGGAACUGCAUUGGUGACUGGCAGGCUAGAGUAUGGCAGAGGGGGGUAGAAUUCCACGUGUAGCAGUGAAAUGCGUAGAGAUGUGGAGGAAUACCGAUGGCGAAGGCAGCCCCCUGGGCCAAUACUGACGCUCAUGCACGAAAGCGUGGGGAGCAAACAGGAUUAGAUACCCUGGUAGUCCACGCCCUAAACGAUGUCAACUAGUUGUUGGGGAUUCAUUUCCUUAGUAACGUAGCUAACGCGUGAAGUUGACCGCCUGGGGAGUACGGUCGCAAGAUUAAAA
rnacentral:rRNA from 1 species